rnacentral:rRNA from 1 species
GACGAACGCUGGCGGCGUGCUUAACACAUGCAAGUCGAACGGAAAGGCCCUGCUUUUGUGGGGUGCUCGAGUGGCGAACGGGUGGGUAACACGUGAGUAACCUGCCCUUGACUUUGGGAUAACUUCAGGAAACUGGGGCUAAUACCGGAUAGGAGCUCCUGCUGCAUGGUGGGGGUUGGAAAGUUUCGGCGGUUGGGGAUGGACUCGCGGCUUAUCAGCUUGUUGGUGGGGUAGUGGCUUACCAAGGCUUUGACGGGUAGCCGGCCUGAGAGGGUGACCGGCCACAUUGGGACUGAGAUACGGCCCAGACUCCUACGGGAGGCAGCAGUGGGGAACAUUGCACAAUGGGCGGAAGCCUGAUGCAGCAACGCCGCGUGCGGGAUGACGGCCUUCGGGUUGUAAACCGCUUUCGCCUGUGACGAAGCGUGAGUGACGGUAAUGGGUAAAGAAGCACCGGCUAACUACGUG